AUUGAACGCUGGCGGCAGGCCUAACACAUGCAAGUCGAACGAGUGGCGGACGGGUGAGUAAUGUCUGGGAAACUGCCUGAUGGAGGGGGAUAACUACGGGAAACGGUAGCUAAUACCGCGUACCAUCGGAUGUGCCCAAGUGGGAUUAGCGAGUAGGUGGGGUAAAGGCUCACCAAGGCGACGAUCCCUAUCUGGUCUGAGAGGAUGACAAGCCACACUGGAACGGAGACACGGUCCAGACUCCUACGGGAGGCAGCAGUGGGGAAUAUUGCGCAAUGUGCGCAACCCUGACGCAGCCAUGCCGCGUGAAUGAAGAAGGCCUGCGGGUUGUAAAGUUCUUUCGGUAGGGAGGCGUUACCCGCAGAAGAAGCACCGGCUAACUCCGUGCCAGCAGCCGCGGUAAUUC
rnacentral:rRNA from 1 species